UUUUUUCCUUCUCUCUAACAAUCCUAACACCACCACAAUCCACCUACCGCCGCCGCCGCCGCCACCACCACCGCCACCCACCUGUCACCACCACCACUUCACUGCAACACUCAUCAGUAGUGUCAAGAACUCGUGCUGACGGAUGGCGCCUAUGGUACUCCCAAAUCUGUACAAAAAUGAAGUGUUACUUUACGCAAACGGUGACUCUUCGUCUUAAUCACUCCACUCAAUCUCUGCAUAAUACAACUCACCCAACACCAUAUCAAAUCAAAAAGAUUGCUAAUUGAAAGUUGUAUCUCAUCUUGUAUAAGCCCCCCCCCCUCCCCCAAUUAGGCCUUGUUUCCAGAUUCAACAAAAGCAAAAGCCCAAGAUUCUGAACAACGAAAGAUAGUGGCUCUUGCUCUGUCCAUUUCCUUACAAAGAAAUUGGAUUUUAAUAUUAAACUGGUUCUGGUGCUCUGUUUUUGGUACUCCAAAAUUUCCAAUUUUGUUCAUGUGGGUGGUCUCUUUUUUUCACAGGAAAUGCUUGAAUUCAACCAUAUCAUCUACAAAGUGUGUUAAAGUUAAUGUCUUGAUACCAUUUUGAGGUUGGGUUAGCGGAUGGCGGUGCUGGGGGUUGUGUAGCGGCGGUCGGCCGCCGGUGUUGGAUGUGCAGCGGUGGUGGGGUUGUGCAGCAGGGGACCAGGGGUGGAGGUGCAGUGGUGGUGGUAUGGUGUGAUGGGUGAGAGAAAGAGACAAGGAUGACAGAGAUAUGAGGGAGAGGGAGAGGGAGAGAGAGAAAGUUAUUAGUAUAUAUAUUCUGAAUGUUUUAAAUUUUUUUGUUUUAUUUAUUAAAUAUAUUUAAAUAAAUGAGUGAAAUUACCAAUA